CUCCCCCCAAAGAAAUGGCUGCAUAAUGCUCAAGAGAUGGAGAAUAGCAAUGGAGCAGGUAGACAGCUCUCAUUAAGGUUGUGAACAUCGUUUGCCAAAACUCUAUAGACUUUUUACAUAAGCUUGAACUUGGUCCAAAAUGACGAUUGUUUAGUAUUCAAUUCGACACAACUUUAAGCCUAUCUCCAUCAUGUCUUUCUAAAUUAUUGUUGUAUUUUCCUUGAAUUCUUAUUCUUCUACAAAAGAGGUCUUGUAUUUAAUAAUUUUUACCCUUCUCCCCCUUCUCCCUCUUCUCCCCUUCUCCGUCUCCCCCCUUCUUAGCCCAAUAAAUAAUCCAUGGGAAAUAUUUCCUUCUAGAUUCACUGCAGAAACCUUAGAACAGAGAAAAAAAAAUCGAAACUGCCUCGAGGAAUCAUGAAGAUAAAUGAGAUUAUCAAACCUUGACUCGAUAUAAAGAUUACAAGAUAUCUGCAGAAGACACCCAAAGCAGCAAACGUUCAAAGAGUGAGAAUGCAUAGCAGGAAGAAAACAAACAAAUAGACGUCUGUUUGUAAGCAAGAUAUACAAAGAUCUCAACCACGAUCAGACAGGACAUGAAACAGCAUAGAAAGAUGAACAGCAUGAAGGUAUUUUUUUUCUAUACAAUUUUCCACCUCGCUAUUUGGUGUAUAGAACAGGACGGUUUUGAGUUGCUACUCUACGUUUUAUGCUUAAUGCGAUCAUCAAGCAUCUGUACAAUCGUCUAAAACAGCCGGUAAAAUCGUUAAGCGACAAACACGUAAAGGCUCGGUAUUACCAUGCCGAGAAAAUGUUUUCUAGUAAUGCCUUUUUGCGUUCUUUACACAAGAGCUCUGUUUACAAUGCAUAUCUAAUAGACUUUGUUUAAUCUGAAGUUUUAUUACAUAUCUAAGAUUCGUUUUGGGUCCUUUUUCACCAAGCAAAUGACAGAAAAUUUCAUCAAAAGAUAGCGUUCCUAACGAUAAUAGUGUUGUCUUUUCAAAAAUGAGCAUAAUUAAUUAUUGUGUUAAAAAGAUUAUAAUUAUGCAUUACGAAUAAUUAUGCAUAAAGCUUAUAUUAUCAUACCUGGCAGUUGACAGCAGUAACAGUCACAUUGCUUGAAACGAAAGUUUUCCCGUUGACUGAGACUUGGAGGACAACAGAACUGCAGGAUAAUCAGGGCAAUAAUCUUAGAAGAUACGAUCAUGUGUAUCAUUUUCAUAUCGCCAAUUUAAAAACUGAAAUCUUCACGAUAAAAAAAAAUAGGAGUGCCAAAUAAGAGUGGGUCAUUUAAGAAUCUUGCAUUUAUAUAUACACGUACAAAUUCAUCAUUUCAAAAUCGGAAUCAGAAGCUGGCAUUUUCAAUAUUUAGCGGCUACAGCCCACUGACAAGAAAAGCAACUGUAGAUGUCAAGGUCUGGUAUAAUUAAACGAGUGUCACGGGGAUUCCACGAUAUUUUCUGCCUGACUCAAAUAAUACAUUACUGACCAACGAUGGAACCAAAACGUAAAAAGUCUUCCAUGGAGGAGCGCAGAUAAGCAAGUCUGUGCUCAAAGAAAAAAAUCUUCCAUUCUGUUACCUCAAAAUUAAGGUAAGAUGCGAGGGUUGCUCAGUGGCUAGGGUCGCGGAGAACAGAUCCAAGGGCCAGGAGCUCGAGUUUCUAACAUGACCAAACAUUCAUCUAAGGUGAAGGGAGUCGCCAGCUCUCUGCCUCUUUUUAUCGUUACACGCCAGUCCUUAGAAGAUAUUAAACAAAGACAGGAAGGCAAAUCUGCACCUUCAAUAGAUUCUGCACCUUUAAUGGCUUUUAGAACGGUUGAGUUGAAAAUAAUUCAAAAAGUGCUAUAGCAGUAGGAAGUACAGGCUUCUAAAGAACAAGCAAAAAUGAGUAACCAGCUUUUUUGUUACCUGUGAGGCUCAUCAAUGGCUGGAGAAGGGCACAUAAGAUGAGUCGAGGUGACUUUCGAUGGCUUGGUGACUGCAAAAGUUAGAUUAAUGUAUAUGAAAAUGAAUCUCUAGUCGAUUGGUAUUCACGUGGUAAAAACUGAGCUACUGACACAUUCUGUAGCUCGAAUGAAGUGUCAGUGACGACCCUCAACCAGCAACAUAAAAUGUCUUCUGUCAGAAGUGCGCAUUAGAAUCUGCAUUUUAGGUACAUAUUCGUACAAUUUUUCAUCAUACUCAACGCUUGUCCAUAAAGUCUUAACCCCAACAUAGUUAUGGUUAUGAGACAUAACAAGAGGCUGAAAUACCUAAAAUUCAAAAUGGAUCUGAUGACAAUUCACUACGUCCUAUAAAGCUUUUUUAUAUAUCUAGCUACGUAGUUUAGCUACGUAAUUGAGUAUAAUGCUUUUUUAUAUAAACGUAAUUGAGCUACUUAACAAGAAUUAGCGGGGCCUGAAGCAUACCUGCGUAUAAAUUUGCCUUAAUAAUUGUUUGCUAUCGCUAGAAACAUUUCUAAGGAGAUGCAUUUAUCGAAAACGGACAAAAAGAAGGUAUACGUAAACAUCAUACUCGACAUGGAACUGAAGAACUGAGAAUAUGACAAGGCUAUAGGUACAGAUAUAUCAUAGAAAAAUCAAACCAUGUAUACAUACCUUGAUA